CAACACUCCUUUCCUCUGCUAAUGGCAGCUGGUUCCAGUCUUCAGCUUCUUUGGUACUUCCAAAACGAGCUUCCAGGCGGGCGGUUGAGAAGAAAGAUGUCAAGUGGUGACUGGAAUCCGUGUCAGCCUCACUGUCUCCAGCUUUAAUGAUGUGGGUACCAUGCCCGAGAAGCUGGCGUCCUGUGUCCCACAGAUAAGUGCAGAUCUGGAAGAGGAAGUCAGAGAGCCCAGGGAAGAUCCAGGGGAAGGUGAAGCAGCUGCAGGCUGGCUGCCCGCCCACACCGAGGAG